rnacentral:misc_RNA from 1 species
AACCAUUCUCACCUGCGGCUAGACCUGCGGAGGGAUCAUUACAAGUGACCCCGGUCUAACCACCGGGAUGUUCAUAACCCUUUGUUGUCCGACUCUGUUGCCUCCGGGGCGACCCUGCCUUCGGGCGGGGGCUCCGGGUGGACACUUCAAACUCUUGCGUAACUUUGCAGUCUGAGUAAACUUAAUUAAUAAAUUAAAACUUUCAACAACGGAUCU